CUGCAAUGAUGACAUCUUAGGACACCUUUGGAUUAACAAUGAAAAGAAUCUUUACCUGAGCAGC